ensembl:lncRNA
ACAAUAAAAGAAUAAAACAGUUAAAAUAAAUCACUCUGUGUGUUUAAUACAUCUACAUAAUAUAUGAGUUUCACAUUUUGAAUUGAACUUCUGAAAUAAAGUAACUGGAUUACAACCUCAAAUCAGUAAAAGUUGGGAAAAGAUGGCAAAUGCAAACGAAACACACAUUUACAUCUUACAUUUACUUUAAUUGACUUUUUAAUUUAAUUGCAGACAGGAUGAACCCUAUAUAUUAGCUAGUUUUGUCUGUUGAGCUUAAUUUAAAGUAUUAAUAUACAUCCAUUCCUCAUGUUUAGGUCUGCAUAUCCAAAAUGUUAGGUUGGUACAGUCCUUCACCCAUAUACUCUUGUCUUUCACAGCCAGCAUGUGGUUUUUCAUUGUCUUGUUGAAAACUUCAAAUGUAAGAAAUAUAAAAGCGAAUGUAAGAAAUGUUGAGUUUUAUGUGCAUUUUUUGCUUCAACCAUUUUUGAUUCGGGAUUGCAUUUUGACAUAUUAUUAAUGCAUGUAUAGAAAUGAAUGAAUUCUAAAGCAGACUCUAUUAUGCUGGUAAUGCUAUUUUGUUCUUCUGUAUGUCUGCUGUUUUUCAGCUUUAGGCGAUUUGCCGGAUAUUUUAGUCUCAGUAUGCAGCGCAGAAGAUGAAGAGCUGUUCGUAGAGAAGACGCAGAAGGAUUACUCAAGAGAAAAGCUUCAGCUGGUAUAUGAGGAAAUAUAUAAACGAGGUAAGAGUUUAUUGAUCCUGUUAGUUACAGUUAUAAUGCUUUAUUAAUGCUUUAUGACCUUAUCGCUGGAUAAAAGCUAUUCAUUUAGUGACUGUUUUACUUAAUGUCUGUUUUUUUUUGUUUCAGCAGGACUGUCUCCUAUUCAUGAAGUUUCCACAACAGGUAAGAACAAACAAAUUACACACAUGCUGACACUCGGGAUAUAAUUUAUAAAAAUGUAUCGAAACUAUGUAUGACUAUGUUUAAAAGCACUUUAAAACAAUGUGUCUAUUUGUAUCCAGUUGCCUUGAAAACAACCCAAAAAAGGUUAAAUAUAUUAAGUUUAUCUUAUUUGUUUACAUUAAAAAAAAUGCUGUUAUAUGUGCAGUUUGUUUGCGUGUUAAUGUUUGUGUCAAUACCUCAGAUAUCUCUUCGGAAAAAAAUGACGAAGAAAACCGGCCUGAUGACAUUAUAACAGAAGGAGGGUCUGAGGAGUCUGUGGAUUUUCCUCUGUUGCUAGUGCACACACAGUCCUUACCUUGCCUGCACCACAGAAGCCACCCCUCUAACAAAGAUGAAGAGGAAUCAACGUAAACAUGUAUAAAGGAUGGAGAACUUUUUUUUUUUUAAAUCAAAAACUGUGAAAGUAAUUCUGCGUCACAUUUGACCUUAGAUGUUCGAAGUUCUUAGUUUCAAGUAGGAAAGGGAAACUGAAACGCCACCACACGCCAGGUUGCCAACUCAGAAAGUCACGAGAGCUUCACCAGCCCCAGGACUACUGCGGCUCUUUACAUCAACAGUAGAAAAAGUAGAUGCUAUGAUGAACCUUUAAGAAAAAGUUGAAGUACCUUUUCUUCUCAAAACAUCUUCAUGAAGGUUCCUCAACGCAACAAAGUUUCAAAUUGAAGAACUCAGAACUUAAAGUUCCUCAAAGACCUUAUAAACAGCAUUGGGGCGCUUCACUGUGGGCACCAUUUACCUGGGGAAUGACAUCACCAGCAUGGGCUAAUGGAAGAAGAUUGGUGGAGUCGGUGGAGGUAGUGUUGUGCUGGGGAAAACAAGUCUGUCCUUUUUUUUGCAUGGGCAUCUAGGUAGCAGAUACACCAGUUCCUGACAAUGGGAUACGCCAAUGAUCAUGGGCUCCUUCAAUAGAUUAAUACUAGUUGGCAACCAUCAUCAAAUACAGUAUUUCUUCUUGUAAUUUGGUGAUUGUCUUGAUCACAAUAAGCCUGAGACACCCUUCACAUGUACCAAACAUGAUCUGCUUCCUUUGUGAACGGACACACAGGGGUUGGACAAUGAAACUGAAACACCUGUCAUUUUAGUGUGGGAGGAUUAAUGACUAAAUUGGAGCAGCCUGGUGGCCAAUCUUCAUUAAUUGCACAUUGCACCAGUAAGAGCUGUAAGAGUGUGAAGGAUCAAUUAGCAGGGUAAGAGCACAGUUUCAAAAGAGGACAAAUUGUCGGCGUAUGUCUUGCUGGCGCACCUGUGACCAAGACCGCUAGUCUUUGUGAUGUAUCAAGAGCCACGGUAUCCCGGGU